AGAAAGCAGGGGAUCUUCGGACCUUGCGCUAAUAGAUGAGCCUAAGUCGGAUUAGCUAGUUGGUGGGGUAAAGGCCUACCAAGGCGACGAUCUGUAGCGGGUCUGAGAGGAUGAUCCGCCACACUGGGACUGAGACACGGCCCAGACUCCUACGGGAGGCAGCAGUGGGGAAUAUUGGACAAUGGGGGGAACCCUGAUCCAGCCAUGCCGCGUGUGUGAAGAAGGCCUUAUGGUUGUAAAGCACUUUAAGCGAGGAGGAGGCUACUUUAGUUAAUACCUAGAGAUAGUGGACGUUACUCGCAGAAUAAGCACCGGCUAACUCUGUGCCAGCAGCCGCGGUAAUACAGAGGGUGCGAGCGUUAAUCGGAUUUACUGGGCGUAAAGCGUGCGUAGGCGGCUUAUUAAGUCGGAUGUGAAAUCCCCGAGCUUAACUUGGGAAUUGCAUUCGAUACUGGUGAGCUAGAGUAUGGGAGAGGAUGGUAGAAUUCCAGGUGUAGCGGUGAAAUGCGUAGAGAUCUGGAGGAAUACCGAUGGCGAAGGCAGCCAUCUGGCCUAAUACUGACGCUGAGGUACGAAAGCAUGGGGAGCAAACAGGAUUAGAUACCCUGGUAGUCCAUGCCGUAGACGAUGUCUACUAGCCGUUGGGGCCUUUGAGGCUUUAGUGGCGCAGCUCACGCGAUAAGUAGACCGCCUGGGGAGUACGGUCGCAAGACUAAUACUCAGAUGAAUUGACGGGCGCCCGCACAAGCGGUGGAGCACGUGGUUUAAUUCGAUGCAUCGCGAAGAACCUUACCUGGCCUUGACGUACGAGAAACUUUCCAGAGAUAGAAUGUGGCCUUCGGGUACCCUAGAGACAGGAACCUCCAGGGCUGUCGUCAGACUCAUGUCCCCCCCCCGCCC
rnacentral:rRNA from 1 species